AAGUCGUAACAAGGUAUCCGUAGGUGAACCUGCGGAUGGAUCAUUAACACUUUUCCAAGUACCUACUAGUAAAAACUUUUUUGGUAACCCGAGUUUCCGCGACCGGAUCAUGGAAUCCACAAACGGCAGAGCAACUUCGGUUGCUGUUCCACCGGUAGAAACUCGUUGUUUUUUUUUGUCUCGUUUCCCUUCCGGGGGAUUUGGGGCAAAAAAACUCAACAAAGUCUUGAGAGUCGACACUAAAAACUCUUCCGGUUAGAAGACCUCGCGUCUUCUGACUGCAGUUUCAUUCUGGCUGCUGUUUUGUAUUGUUAAACCAUUUAACGAUUUGUAACCAUAUGUCUGAUCUAAGGGUUGGUCCGAAAGGAUUUUCAACUUUAACUAUUUUCGCGUAAUUUUUAUACAACUGUUAGCAACGGAUAUCUUGGUUCUC
rnacentral:misc_RNA from 1 species